rnacentral:rRNA from 1 species
AAUAGAUACCCGGGUAGUCCACGCCGUAAACGAUGGAUACUAGCUGUUGGGGGCAACUUCAGUGGCUAAGCGAAAGUGAUAAGUAUCCCACCUGGGGAGUACGAACGCAAGUUUGAAACUCAAAGGAAUUGACGGGGGCCCGCACAAGCGGUGGAGCAUGUGGUUUAAUUCGAUGAUACGCGAGGAACCUUACCAAGGCUUAAAUGCAGACUGACCGAUUUGGAAACAGAUCUUUCGCAAGACAGUUUACAAGGUGCUGCAUGGUUGUCGUCAGCUCGUGCCGUGAGGUGUCAGGUUAAGUCCUAUAACGAGCGCAACCCCUGUUGUUAGUUGCCAGCGAGUCAUGUCGGGAACUCUAACAAGACUGCCAGUGCAAACUGUGAGGAAGGUGGGGAUGACGUCAAAUCAUCACGGCCCUUACGCCUUGGGCUACACACGUGCUACAAUGGCCGGUACAGAGAGCAGCCACUGGGCGACCAGGAGCGAAUCUAUAAAGCCGGUCACAGUUCGGAUCGGAGUCUGC